CCUGUUAAAUCCACCGAAUUAAUCGUUGGAUUGCGGGGGAUACUGCUUGGCUAGGGGACGAGAGAGGCAGACGGUAUUUCCGGGGUAGGGGUGAAAUCCUAUAAUCCCGGGAAGACCACCAGUGGCGAAGGCUGUCUGCUAGAACGCGCCCGACGGUGAGGGAUGAAAGCUGGGGGAGCGAACCGGAUUAGAUACCCGGGUAGUCCCAGCUGUAAACGAUGCAGACUAGGUGUUUGGACGGCCACGUGCCGUUCUAGUGCCGCAGGGAAGCUGUUAAGUCUGCCGCCUGGGGAGUACGAUCGCAAGAUUGAAACUUAAAGGAAUUGGCGGGGGAGCACCACAAGGGGUGAAGCUUGCGGUUUAAUUGGAGUCAACGCCGGAAAUCUCACCGGGAGCGACAGCAGAGUGAAGGCCAGAUUAAAGGUCUUGCCAGACAAGCUGAGAGGAGGUGCAUGGCCGUCGCCAGUUCGUGCCGUGAGGUGUCCUGUUAAGUCAGGCAACGAUCGAGACCCGCAUCCACUGUUGCUACUAGCUUUGUGCUGGGCACACUGUGGAGACCGCCACUGAUAAAGUGGAGGAAGGAGCGGGCCACGGCAGGUACGCAUGCCCCGAA
rnacentral:rRNA from 1 species